rnacentral:rRNA from 1 species
UACGGAGGAUGCGAGCGUUAUCCGGAUUUAUUGGGUUUAAAGGGUGCGUAGGUGGUUUUUUAAGUCAGUGGUGAAAGUUUGUCGCUCAACGAUAAAAUUGCCAUUGAAACUAGUUAGCUUGAGUAUGUUUGGGGUAGGCGGAAUGCGUAGUGUAGCGGUGAAAUGCAUAGAUAUUACGCAGAACUCUAAUUGCGAAGGCAGCUUACUAAACCAUAACUGACACUGAAGCACGAAAGCGUGGGUAUCAAACAGG